GUAGGAAAACUAGACGUUUUAAACUGGACAAAAACAAACAGGGUAAAACCCAGAAAAAAGCUAGCGAUAAUUAAGUGUACAAUCCUGUGUACCCUUAAGUAUGACUAAGUCCCAUUCAACUUAGUAGGAUUUACUUCUGAGUCAACCUGUAUAGACUUGGGCUCUGUGUCUCAAUGGAAUCAAGGAAACUUACAGUGCAAUCCUAUAUAUGUCAGAAGUAAGCCCUAUCAAAAUCAGAGACACUCACUCCCAGGUAAGCGCUUAUAGAAUUGCGGCACAAAACUAAAUACUCCCAUCAUUAUUAAUGCAUAUAUGACUUCCUGCCAGGACAGGCUUCUGGGUGGUUUACAAAAUACUUUUUUUAAAAAAACCCAUUUACACAAAGUUCCAUUUUACUUGUAAAUAAGUCCCACUGUUUGGAUGUACACUCAGAAAUAAGUUCCACUGUAUCCACUUUGACUUACUCCCAGGUAAGUCGUCACAGGAUUGAAUCUUUAGGUGUGAUUAAUUUUAAGUGAUUGUGCCCAGCUUGUGUCUCCAUUUUUUUUUUUUUUUUACUUCCAGCAAGAGUGCCUAUUUCACAACUUAUGUUUCCUUUUCGGUCUUUCAGAAAUAUACAUCUAAAUAACAUACUUGUAAAAUGCUCUAAAUAUUCUUAAACCAUGACAUGAGCAACGUGACAGAGAUUGUUCUUGUUGAAAUUUAUACCCAGAAAGAGAUCGGGGUCUGAAUGGGAGCUGCAUGUUGUGGUUUGAGCCCAUCCAUGCACCUCCCCUGUGCACGAUCAUUUCAUACAAUAGUAAGGUUAGCAAAAGGAGAAACCCCAAAAUGCUGGAAGUUAAUGCAUUUGGAAUGCAAGCAGUAGUAGAAAUCAGAAAGAUUGGCACCAGCAAACUAUAGUUCUUUUUCUUAAAUGGUAUUAAGUAUUAAUCAAAAUAUGGGUUUUGUGCUUGACUUUGGCAGAGGGUUUCUAAAGCAAGCGCAUGAGCCACACAAAAGCCUUGUCCUUCCUAACCAGCCUCAUUUCAAUCAGUGGGAGUUUGCCCAUCCAUUGCCAUGAGCUCCCAGAGGGGCUCCAGAGACCCAUUUGGGUUGGGAACUGAAACGCUGCUGCAGAGUCUUUAAUUUUAUUAAUCUUUUAAAGCCCACCGCUUUUGAACAAAUGCCCAUUUAAAGCAGUUUUGCAUAAUUACGGUACACGUUUCAGUCGCAUUUGAGUUGAUUCUUAAUUUUUAUUAUUAUUAUUAUCUUGGGUUGCGUGGAAGUGCUCAAUUUGCUGAAACUCAGUCCGGCCUCUCUCUGUCUUGAGUUCUCCCCCCCCCCCCAAGAUGCUUUUGGAAUUCUCUGCCUUGCCACAAGAAGCUUUGGUCACGCAGAACUGUUGCCAGCUCCUAGGACUGAACCACACAAAACACUGCAAAGCCAGCUUCAUCGGAUUGCCUGUCCUGAAUUUUGCUUGGGAAUCUACCUGAAGCUCUGCAUCUCAUCCCUUGUCAACUCCUGCUUGUCUUAGCUGCAUGGGAACUAACCUCUGGGACCCUCCUUUCUGGAGAACCUUCUUACGUCUCCUUGUCUUGUCCUGAUGCCUCUAAAGCUUCAACCCUGGGAGCCCAUCUUGAACUCUGGAAUUUUACCAGGAAAGGUAAGCACUAGAAAUCAUU